rnacentral:hammerhead_ribozyme from 1 species
GCACUGCUGACGAAUCCGAAAGAGGACGAAACAGCUGUUCAGUAC